rnacentral:rRNA from 1 species
CCUACGGGAGGCAGCAGUGAGGAAUAUUGGACAAUGGAGGCAACUCUGAUCCAGCCAUGCCGCGUGCAGGAAGACUGCCCUAUGGGUUGUAAACUGCUUUUAUACAGGAAGAAACCUACUUACGUGUAAGUAGCUGACGGUACUGUAAGAAUAAGGAUCGGCUAGCUCCGUGCCAGCAGCCGCGGUAAU